rnacentral:rRNA from 1 species
UACGUAGGGUGCGAGCGUUAAUCGGAAUUACUGGGCGUAAAGCGUGCGCAGGCGGUUUUGUAAGUCAGAUGUGAAAGCCCCGGGCUUAACCUGGGAAUGGCAUUUGGGACUGCAAGGCUUGAGUGCGGCAGAGGAGACUGGAAUUCCUGGUGUAGCAGUGAAAUGCGUAGAUAUCAGGAGGAAUACCGAUGGCGAAGGCAGGUCUCUGGGCUGACACUGACGCUCAUGCACGAAAGCGUGGGGAGCAAACAGG